GUCCCUGUAGCGCAAUGGAUUGCGCGUAGGACUUCUAAUCCAAAGGACAUGGAUUCGAUUCCCACCUGGGAUG